CACUACAAUUGUUCUUUUAAAUACUUUGUCAUUUCUUAUAUAAAAAAAAGAAAAAUUUCUUCUUUUUCAACGGAGAUUGAGUUGUUAUGUUUUUCUUAUGUUUUCGUGAAAAUUCAUGAAACGACGUGAGUUACAUAGUCAGAACUUUCAAUAUUGACCACGUAUAUAACUGAUCCAGAUUGGUGACCUAAAAAAAAAUAUUUUGGAUAGACGAAACUUUGUUAAAAAGAUAAAGAGUGUUUUAAAUUAAAAAAAUUAUCUUAUAAUGUCGACUAGUCUGAGUGGAAUUAAUAAUUUGAAAAAAAUAAAAAAUGUACCUCAACGAAAAGAAGACGUGACGGUAGUGAAACCAGUCAUUUUAGGGACUUAUGCUUUUAUGCUAACGGAACAGGAAAUAGCUCGACGAAGAAAUCGUAAUGAUAAUGCCACACAUCGUUGGUAUUGCACCCUGCGUUCUUCAACAUGCGAAGAUACCUCUUAUUUUAUUCGCAAAGUUGUUUUUAAUCUUCAUUCAAGCUUUAUCAAUCCUCAACGAACUUUUGAAAAACCUCCCUAUGAAUUUAAUGAAGUAGGGUGGGGUGAGUUUGAAAUCGUUUGUAAAAUUUAUUUCCUUGAUCCAAAUGAGCGACCUGUAGAACUACGUCACUGGUUAAGGUUGUAUCCGAGCGAUCUUCACACUCUGUAUCCCACUCCAACAGAAGUGAAUCCUGGUGCAUGCGUGGCAACCGAGAUUUACGAUGAAAUUUAUUUCAAUAGUCCAUAUGAACCUUUUUACAACAUUCUCAUGACGGGUCCUUUAAAACCGAAAAUUCAAUAUGAAAUGGCACCCAACUUUUUGAAAACGAAUAAUCAAGAUAAAUAUUUAGCUUCGCUCCUCUCAGCUAUUUCAACUGUCAACCAAGCAAUUGAAGAAGGAACAAGCAAGGCAACCACUUUGACAUUAGAAAUUAAUCAGCUUAAAGAAUCGUAUUACGCUAAGCAUGAUGAUAAAGCUUUAAUGAUUGUCAAUAAAGAAAAACAAAAUUUUUCCUGAGCAUAUUCAGCUUUGUAAUGUAUUAUAGAGGAAACAAAAAUGAAAAAACAAGACAAGCACUUUAAUUGUUUUUCUGAAUUGUUUUUUCUUUAUAAAGUUGAUAAAGCAAAAAUGGAUCCUUCAUUAUUAACGAAAACAAAAGGAAGGGUUUUCUCGUUAUUUGUUUGACUUUGAUUCGAUACAAGUACACCAUACAUGGAUACCUAUAGUAAU